rnacentral:rRNA from 1 species
AUUGAACGCUGGCGGCAGGCCUAACACAUGCAAGUCGAGCGGAUGAAGGGAGCUUGCUCCUGGAUUCAGCGGCGGACGGGUGAGUAAUGCCUAGGAAUCUGCCUGGUAGUGGGGGAUAACGUCCGGAAACGGGCGCUAAUACCGCAUACGUCCUGAGGGAGAAAGUGGGGGAUCUUCGGACCUCACGCUAUCAGAUGAUCCUAGGUCGGAUUAGCUAGUUGGUGGGGUAAAGGCCUACCAAGGCGACGAUCCGUAACUGGUCUGAGAGGAUGAUCAGUCACACUGGAACUGAGACACGGUCCAGACUCCUACGGGAGGCAGCAGUGGGGAAUAUUGGACAAUGGGCGAAAGCCUGAUCCAGACAUGCCGCGUGUGUGAAGAAGGUCUUCGGAUUGUAAAUCACUUUAAGUUGGGAGGAAGGGCAGUAAGUUAAUACCUUGCUGUUUUGACGUUACCAACAGAAUAAGCACCGGCUAACUUCGUG